rnacentral:miRNA from 1 species
UUGUAGCUGCACUUGUUCAAG